GUCUGUUUCCCUACCUAGAAAAUAAACUCCCUGUGGCAGAAGUUUUAUCUCUCUGCUCCCUUCUUGGUUCCCAGCUCUUGGAACAGAACCAGACUUCUGGCCGGGGCUCAGUCAGUGCUUGCAAGAUGUUUGUUGGCACCAGGCUGUGCCAGGAGAGCAUCAUUAUAAACUGCUGAUCUACUGUUUCUUUGUCAAACGGGAGGAGAUAACAUAAAGGUCAUAAGAAAUGUUUGCAGACGGAGUGAAUGCCUUGAAAGUGCUGCGACCAGGUGCUGACACCCGGAGGUCUGGCUGCUCGAAGUGUUAGCUGACACGGAAGACACACGGACUUUCCCUCCAUUCCCCAAAACUCCCCCUCCCUGACUCGUCAGCUGCAUAAAAACCCUCUCCUUAUCUCUUUGUCAAGGGGAUUUGAGAAAUCUUGCUGUCUUGUCUUCUUGCUUUGGCCAAAUGGAAUAAACCUUUCUCUGUCUCCAGACACCUGUG
rnacentral:lncRNA from 1 species